rnacentral:lncRNA from 1 species
AUAUCCUACUAGUGCCAAACCUUGCUGGGAGCCAGUGUCAGAGGAACACAGGCCAUCAUACUCCAAAUGGUCAAGCAACUGGAGCCUCAGACAAUGACCCCUUCUGCCGGGGACCCUUAGAUAGGCUUCUGAGGGAGACUGGACUGACAUUUCCCCAAAACAGCACCCUCUGUCAGCAGCAAGCAGUUAAGAUUGGUCUUUGUCCUUAUCACAAUCCUUAUUCUAAUGGCAGUUAGAUGUACUUCUUUAGAGGGCGAAAUGAGACAGCCAAGCAAAAAGGGCUCCUCAGAGAACUUCUGACUGGGUGGCGCUCUGAGAGAAUGGGUUGGAGCCAUGGAAAUUCAUGCCAUUUGCCAUGGUAGGAGCCUGGCCUUUCCUGUUCCUGGGUGGUAAUCUGGGAUUCAGUUGGUGAGAUUUGGGCCUGUUAACCGGAAUCCUUCUCACUUUACUGAGUUUUUCCUUUUCACCCAAUAAAUUCCAUUUUUCUCACCCUUUUAUGUGUCCACAAACCUAAUUUUUCCUGGUUGUAUGACAAGAACUCGGCUUUUAGCUGAACUUAGAAAAAUGUCCUACAACACUAUGAGGUCAUGGAGAAAGAGAGGAAUUGAAAGAAAAAGAUUCGGACUUCACUCUCCAUUUAAAAUAAGCUUUACUGUUCUUUUCAACAGUGUGAUAGUGCCAGUUGUCUGAUAAUAAUGUAUAAUUUCCAAGUGCAGUGCUGUGCAGAUACUAAAUGGCUGAAUUUAGAAGACACUGAAAAUGAAAUUUAGAAUUUAGAAGACACUGAAUUUAGAAGACACUGAAAAUGAAACAGUGCUCCUAUUAUUCAAUUUAGAAAAUGAGAAUAGAACUAUCAUUUGCUCUUUUCUACAGUCUUCCACUACCCAAAUUCAAAUAUGUAAUUCAGUAAAGUCUAAUCAAUGUAGAGACAUCACAAAACAUAAUAUCCCCAACAUCUUUUCCUUCUAAGCUGGGGGUAGUGGGAUGAGAGUGGCAGAGACUAAAUACCUGCCAUCCCCUGUCCCAGUUAGACAAUGGUUCCUUCCCCAGAGGCAGCAAACAUCCCAAGCCACUCCACUGCCAAUAAGACUAAGAGUGUCAGUCUCAGUGGUGUGAUCACUUUGCAUGACUCCUGCAUUCCUAGGCGUUCCUAUUUGGCUCCUCUCUUUGAAACCUAAAAGAGCUUGGCUCAACCUGCCACCAGGCUGAGCUUAAUCACACAUACCACUCACAUCACGUUGCACUGCCUCAAGCAUCCACUACUGUGUUAUUAUGUCCUGUAGGUGGGAGAUAAAACUUCCAGGCUGGCAAAAAAAAAAAAAAAAGUUCUUUUUCACAACUGGGGUUAAUUCUCACAAAGGGAAGGCAUUCAACUGGCAAAAAUCAUUGUCAUUUUCCAUUUAGAUAGGGUGCCUCUUGAAGAAAAACUACCUGAGAUACAGUAAGUUGCUGCAGCAGCACAGCUUGAGUGUGAAAACUGAAUGCCAAUGCAGAGGCAGUGCCUUCGGAAAACACCCACUGCAAAGAUGAAUCCUGAUGAUUCAGACUGUCAACUUUUGGAGAGACAGGACUAAGUCUUUUUCUGUGGGAUGCAGUAGUAUCCCACAGUGUUUCCCAGAUAAUAAGUACUAGAUGAGUAUUGGCUGAAUGAAAUCAAGAAAAACACCAGACCCACUGGACUCUAAGCAAAACCAGCUGGUUGCUGGCCCUGUCAAAAUACUCUUUAAAAAUCAGCCAGCAUCAAUAUUACUCCAAUGAUGCCAGAACCUUUUAGUCAAAGGAGCGGCAUACAACUCCAUGUUGUGGCUGAUUAGGGAAAUCUCACCUAAUUAGAAGAUAUGUCCUACUUAGAAAUAAAAGUAUGCCAAGAGAAACUUACUCUAAGAAUAUGAGGCUGGGUGCAGUGGCUCACGUCUGUAAUCUCAACAUUUUGAGAGGUGGAGGCAGGCAGAUUGCUUGAGCUCAGGAGUUCGAGACCAGCCUGGGCAACAUAAGGAGACCCCCAUCUCUACGAAAAAUACAAAAAAUUAUCUGGGUGUGGUGGUGUGUGCCUGUGGUCCCAACAACCGUGCUCCCAACAGGAGGAUCACCUGUGUCCAGGAAGUUGAGGCUGCAGUGAGCCGUGAUCAUGCCACUGAACUCUAGUCUGGGUGACAGCGUGAGGCCCUGUCUCAAAA